GUCCUUCCUUUCUGAGCAUGGUGAUUGGGUGUUCAUUGGGUAUUUAGAGGUAGAUGUGGCUCUCUCUAAACCUUGUUACAACUGCAGCACAUUACACUUCUGACG